AGCGAACGCUGGCGGCAUGCUUAACACAUGCAAGUCGCGCGGCCGGCAACGGCAGCGGCGGACGGGUGCGUAACGCGUAGGAACGUGUCUUGAGGUGGGGGACAACCCUGGGAAACUGGGGCUAAUACCGCAUAUGUCCUGAGGGACAAAGCAGCGAUGCGCCUUGAGAGCGGCCUGCGUCCGAUUAGGUUGUUGGUGGGGUAAUGUCAUACCAAGCCUGCGAUCGGUAGCUGGUCUGCGAGGAUGAUCAGCCACACUGGGACUGAGACACGGCCCAGACUCCUACGUGAGGCAGCAGUGGGGAAUAUUGGACAAUGGGCGCAAGCCUGAUCCAGCAAUGCCGCGUGGGUGAAGAAGGUCUUCGGAUCGUAAAGCCCUUUCGACAGGGACGAUGAUGACGGUACCUGUAGAAGAAGCCCCGGCUAACUUCGUGCCAGCAGCCGCGGUAAUAC
rnacentral:rRNA from 1 species